ensembl:snRNA U5 U5 spliceosomal RNA
AUACUCUGGUUUCUCUUCAGAUUGCAUAAAAUCUUUCACCUUUUACUGAAGAUUUCCAUGGAGAGAAACAAUUCUGAGUCCUUCACUGAUUUUUUGAGAACUUGCCUGGAAAAAAAUA